AAAAAUUUAGUUAAUUUAUAACAUUAGCUUGUCAAGCUGAAAUAGAUACUUAGUAUUAAUUUUUG
rnacentral:tRNA from 1 species